rnacentral:rRNA from 1 species
AUCCCUACGGGAGGCAGCAGUGAGGAAUAUUGGUCAAUGGUCGGGAGACUGAACCAGCCAAGCCGCGUGAGGGAGGAAGGUACAGAGUAUCGUAAACCUCUUUUGUCAGGGAACAAAGACUGGGACGCGUCCCCGGCUGAGUGUACCUGAAGAAAAAGCAUCGGCUAACUCCGUGCCAGCAGCCGCGGUAAUACGGAGGAUGCGCGCGUUAUCCGGAUUUAUUGGGUUUAAAGGGUGCGUAGGCGGAAGGUUAAGUCAGCGGUCAAAUGUCGGUGCUCAACACCGGCCUGCCGUUGAAACUGGUC